rnacentral:rRNA from 1 species
GACGAACGCUGGCGGCGUGCUUAACACAUGCAAGUCGAACGGUAAGGCCCUUCGGGGUACACGAGUGGCGAACGGGUGAGUAACACGUGGGUGAUCUGCCCUGCACUUUGGGAUAAGCCUGGGAAACUGGGUCUAAUACCGAAUACACCCUGCUGGUCGCAUGGCCUGGUGGGGGAAAGCUUUUGCGGUGUGGGAUGGGCCCGCGGCCUAUCAGCUUGUUGGUGGGGUAAUGGCCUACCAAGGCGACGACGGGUAGCCGGCCUGAGAGGGUGACCGGCCACACUGGGACUGAGAUACGGCCCAGACUCCUACGGGAGGCAGCAGUGGGGAAUAUUGCACAAUGGGCGCAGGCCUGAUGCAGCGACGCCGCGUGAGGGAUGACGGCCUUCGGGUUGUAAACCUCUUUCAGCACAGACGAAGCGCAAGUGACGGUAUGUGCAGAAGAAGGACCGGCCAACUACGUGCCAGCCGCCGCCGUAACAC